rnacentral:rRNA from 1 species
UUCUUAGUUCGUGGAGUGAUCUGUCUGCUUAAUUGCGUUUCAAAUUUUUAACCGAGGACCGGGUUUUGGUUUGGCUAGUGGUCCUACGAUGACUGUGAACUGUCAUGUCUUCGGAUGUACGACUAUCGGUCUAGGAUCACAUGACUUGCCCCUGGGACUCUUUUGAACGCAACGGACGUGAUUGCAACCCCUUGUUGAGAUUAGAGAUAGUCUCGAUAUUCACUGGCCAAACUGGCUGCUUUAUGCAGUCUUGUUGAAUGGUGGAUAAACUCGGGGGACUGCUGACUAUAACCAUUUCUCAAAACAGAGGAAGGUUGCGGCAAUAACAGGUCUGUGAUGC